rnacentral:rRNA from 1 species
UACGAAGGGGGCUAGCGUUGUUCGGAAUCACUGGGCGUAAAGGGCGCGUAGGCGGCUUUGUAAGUCGGGGGUGAAAGCCUGUGGCUCAACCACAGAAUUGCCUUCGAUACUGCAUGGCUUGAGACCGGAAGAGGUAAGUGGAACUGCGAGUGUAGAGGUGAAAUGCGUAGAGAUCGGCAGGAACACCCAGGGGGAAACCAGUCGACUGGGCAUCUACUGACGCUGAGGUGCGAGAGCGUGGGGAGCGAACCGG